rnacentral:rRNA from 1 species
UACGAAGGGGGCUAGCGUUGUUCGGAAUUACUGGGCGUAAAGCGCGCGCAGGCGGCUAUCCAAGUCAGUGGUGAAAGCCCGGAGCUCAACUCCGGAACUGCCAUUGAAACUGUUUAGCUGGAGUAUGAGAGAGGUGAGUGGAAUUCCCAGUGUAGAGGUGAAAUUCGUAGAUAUUGGGAAGAACACCGGUGGCGAAGGCGGCCUGCUGGGCUAUGGCUGACACUGAGGCGCGACAGCGUGGGGAGCAAACAGG